AUGUUAUCACGUGGGGCAUUACAGUCGGUUAGCGCUGCUAUUGUUCAGUGCUGCAAUCAGCUAGCGCUCGAAUAAUGCUACUGCGUCAUUUGGAUCGAGACGAGUAUGUACACGUCUAGCUGUUUCAGCAGAGCGAUUCCGUUCAACUUUAUAAUAUUGUACAGUGAUAUGUGCUAUCUGCAGGAUAACAUCUGUUAAGAAGAUCUAUGAUAAAGAUCGAUUAUUCUUCGCGUGAAAGAAAAAAAGAAGUGUCAGAAAGUAUAAACAAUGUGACAGAUAUAACCUCACAUUUCACACCAGUAUUUCAAAAAACGAUAUAGACCGGCGCAUCCAGAAUUCUUUACUGAUAUCUGGACUGAUAUAUUCAAAGAUACUUUGGAAGAAUAUUAUCUAAAAUUAGAAAGAGAUGGCAAACAUAAAAAUGCAAAAUCUCUGAUGUCUAAAAUGUUUUGUCUCACUAUGUUUAGUCAAAUGUGCGAAAAACUUUUUCAAACAACUCUAUGAUUUCCACUUAUUCUGCAAUUAUUAAUUUCAAUAUUAAGGAUUUAAUUUAUCGUAUUGAUAAGAUCAAACAGAUAAAUACUAUAAUGAAUGAUUUUUCAAAUGUAUUUAAAUUUCCCAGAGAAGAUAAAAAAAUGUUAAAAACACAAAAUGUCCUAAAAUACGAAGUCAUAAAAAACUUAAAAAUCAAAGAAAUUAUCGAGGAAGCUUUGAAAGAUGCUAUUAAAAGUACCGAAGAAUUAGGCAUGAAAAUUAAAAGUGAUACAGAUUGGAAAUUUGUUGAUAUUGCUUUGCAAACUAUAGAUGACAAUUGUAAAUUUGAUGAUACAGAACGUGAAAUUGAUAACAAUUGCUCUAUAAACGCUAGAAGCACAAAUGUUGAGGAUGUUGACAACUCAAUUUUAUUUGAGUCUUGAAGAUAAUUUAAAAUUAGAGAGUCUAGAAUUAAAAGACUUUUCAAAACAAAUAUCACAGAAAUCAAUAACGAAAAAUUCGUCAUUCAUAGAGAUUAAAGUAAAUGAUAAAAAUAUGGUUGUUAAAAAAUCUUAUUGGUUUCUUGAUGAAUGUAAUGGAAAAAUUAGUAUGGACAGAUUACGAAGAUUCAUGACAGGUAAUAAAUAAAAGAAUAAAAAACUAUACAAAAAUGCAACCUGAAAAAAAAGCAAAAAUAUUUUAAAAUUUUCAGGUUUUCUAAACAAGAUCAAAUAUGUAAUGAAUCAGAAGAAGCAAAUUCCUUGAAAACAAUCCUAAAGUUUGCAACGCGUGUGUAUCUGAAAUACUAUUAGAAAAAUAUUAUGCCGUUUUUUAUGACAACUAUUAUACUAUAUUGGCCGGGUUGUUGAUCAUUGUGAUAACCACGUAAAAGUAAAGUUUUUAGAAAAAGAACUUUCUUUUAUUUGGCCACGUGAUGAAGAUGUGGCGUGUGUUGAAAAGAAAUAUAUUUUCUAUUGCCCAAUUGAAUUAGUCGGAACCGGACCUUUUGUGUUACAACGUUGUGAUUUAGCGGCUAUACAUAAAAAGUAUAAACUAAUGAACAUUUUGAACUGUAGAUUUUUUAUUUGUUAAGCGCUUGGGCUUUUCUCUCGAGAUUGGAUUAUGAUGUAUUUCCUUUAUGUAUGUACAAAUUCUAAAUAAUAUUUUUGUUCGUAUUUGUUUGUAUUUGUAUAUAAAAAAGGAUACUUUCAUUUAGUUACACAUCAAAAGUUUAUGGCAUUUAUUUAAUAAUUAUUAAUAAAUAUUAAAAUAAGUUUAUAUAAAUU